CGCGGCCUAUCAGCUUGUUGGUGAGGUAAUGGCUCACCAAGGCGACGACGGGUAGCCGGCCUGAGAGGGCGACCGGCCACACUGGGACUGAGACACGGCCCAGACUCCUACGGGAGGCAGCGGUGGGGAAUAUUGGGCAAUGGGCGCAAGCCUGACCCAGCGACGCCGCGUGAGGGAUGAAGGCCUUCGGGUUGUAAACCUCUUUCAGUAGGGAAGAAGCGAAAGUGACGGUACCUAAAGAAGAAGCACCGGCUAACUAUGUGCCAGCAGCCGCGGUAAUACAUAGGGUGCAAGCGUUGUCCGGAAUUAUUGGGCGUAAAGAGCUCGUAGGUCGUUUGCCGCGUCGAUUGUGAAAAUCUGAGGCUCAACCUCAGACCUGCAGUCGAUACGGGCAAACUAGAGUGUGGUAGGGGAGACUGGAAUUCCUGGUGUAGCGGUGGAAUGCGCAGAUAUCAGGAGGAACACCAAUGGCGAAGGCAGGUCUCUGGGCCAUAACUGACACUGAGGAGCGAAAGCGCGGGGAGCGAACAGGAUUAGAUACCCUGGUAGUCCGCGCCGUAAACGGUGGGCACUAGCUGUGAGGACCUUCCACGGUCUUCGCGACGCAGCAAACGCAUUAAGUGCCCCGCCUGGGGAGUACGG
rnacentral:rRNA from 1 species